UGGGGAAUUUUGGACAAUGGGCGAAAGCCUGAUCCAGCAAUGCCGCGUGUGUGAAGAAGGCCUUCGGGUUGUAAGGCACUUUUGUCCGGAAAGAAAUCCUUGGCUCUAAUACAGUCGGGGGAUGACGGUACCGGAAGAAUAAGCACCGGCUAACUACGUGCCAGCAGCCGCGGUAAUACGUAGGGUGCAAGCGUUAAUCGGAAUUACUGGGCGUAAAGCGUGCGCAGGCGGUUUGCUAAGACCGAUGUGAAAUCCCCGGGCUCAACCUGGGAACCGCAUUGGUGACUGGCAGGCUAGAGUAUGGCAGAGGGGGGUAGAAUUCCACGUNUAGCAGUGAAAUGCGUAGAGAUGUGGAGGAAUACCGAUGGCGAAGGCAGCCCCCUGGGCCAAUACUGACGCUCAUGCACGAAAGCGUGGGGAGCAAACAGGAUUAGAUACCCUGGUAGUCCACGCCCUAAACGAUGUC
rnacentral:rRNA from 1 species